UACGAAGGGUGCAAACGUUGCUCGGAAUCAUUGGGCGUAAAGCGCACGUAGGCGGCUUCGCAAGUCGGGUGUGAAAUCCCAUGGCUCAACCAUGGACGUGCAUUCGAAACUGCGAAGCUUGAGUAUGGAAGAGGGUCGCGGAAUUCCCGGUGUAGAGGUGAAAUUCGUAGAUAUCGGGAGGAACACCAGUGGCGAAGGCGGCGACCUGGGCCAAUACUGACGCUGAGGUGCGAAAGCGUGGGGAGCAAACAGG
rnacentral:rRNA from 1 species